GACUCAACCUCGCCGCAUAACGUUCGUCGCAGAUUCGAAGCUGCUCUGCUUCUCUGCCAUCAACUACAACAGUGUUGGCUCAAAUUAUUUUACAGUUGGGUGUAUUUAUCGAAGGACCUUUUGAAUUCACAUAAUUCCUUAAGGCCGGAAUUUAAUUUUGGAGAGGGAUUAUUGGAAUCUAAUGCUUCUACGCCAGAGGACGAAGGAAGUGAAGAAGCUAUCCCAACACGCGGAAGGUCUUCAUUAGAUAGUAAUCACUCUUGAAUUGGGUUAUGUAAAUUCAAUAUUUUUGCUAUGAUUUUGAGUUCUGUAAAAUGAUAAG